rnacentral:rRNA from 1 species
UCCGCAGGCGGGAAUUCAGGUCAGAUGUGAAAGCCCGGGGCUCAACCCCGGAACUGCAUUUGAAACCGGAUUCCUUGAGUACGGGAGAGGGAAGCGGAAUUCCUGGUGUAUAGGUGAAAUUCGUAGAUAUCAGGAGGAACACCAGCGGCGAAAGCGGCUUCCUGGCCCGAUACUGACGCUCAUGGACGAAAGCGUGGGGAGCAAACA